rnacentral:rRNA from 1 species
GAUGAACGCUGGCGGCGCGCCUAAUACAUGCAAGUCGAGCGAACAGAUGAGGAGCUUGCUCCUCUGACGUUAGCGGCGGACGGGUGAGUAACACGUGGAUAACCUACCUAUAAGACUGGGAUAACUUCGGGAAACCGGAGCUAAUACCGGAUAAUAUAUUGAACCGCAUGGUUCAAUAGUGAAAGACGGUUUUGCUGUCACUUAUAGAUGGAUCCGCGCCGCAUUAGCUAGUUGGUAAGGUAACGGCUUACCAAGGCAACGAUGCGUAGCCGACCUGAGAGGGUGAUCGGCCAAACUUGAACUGAGACACGGUCCAGACUCCUACGGGAGGCAGCAGUAGGGAAUCUUCCGCAAUGGGCGAAAGCCUGACGGAGCAACGCCGCGUGAGUGAUGAAGGUCUUCGGAUCGUAAAACUCUGUUAUUAGGGAAGAACAAAUGCGUAAGUAACUAUGCACGUCUUGACGGUACCUAAUCAGAAAGCCACGGCUAACUACGUG